GGCCAAGAGUUCCUGGAAAACGACCGAUACCUGAACCACUAGUAAGAUCGAAAACCGACUGCUCCGACGAACCGAUAGUAACAAAAUCUAAAUAUACCUCAUACUAUGUAAUGAGCUAUCUGAAACUCUCUCCUAUCUGUUUAGGAGAGGACAUCACAACGACGCAGCUUUGCCUGGAGUAGCUUGAUCCCACGAACGAAGAUAAGGUUGCAGCCUUGGAGAUUCAGACCCAGCAGACACUGACCCAUGUUGGCAAUGAACGGUAAGCUUUUUUUCCGUCA
rnacentral:misc_RNA from 1 species